AGAGCGAACGCUGGCGGCAGGCCUAACACAUGCAAGUCGAGCGCCCCGCAAGGGGAGCGGCAGACGGGAGAGUAACACGUGGGAACGUACCCUUCAGUUCGGAACAACCCAGGGAAACUUGGGCUAAUACCGAAUACGUCCGUAAGGAGAAAGAUUUAUCGCUGAAGGAUCGGCCCGCGUCUGAUUAGCUUGUUGGUGAGGUAAUGGCUCACCAAGGCUACGAUCAGUAGCUGGUCUGAGAGGAUGAUCAGCCUCACUGGGACUGAGACACGGCCCAGACUCCUACGGGAGGCAGCAGUGGGGAAUAUUGGACAAUGGGCGCAAGCCUGAUCCAGCCAUGCCGCGUGGGUGAUGAAGGCCCUAGGGUUGUAAAGCCCUUUCGGCGGGGAAGAUAAUGACGGUACCCGCAGAAGAAGCCCCGGCUAACUUCGCGCCAGCAGCCGC
rnacentral:rRNA from 1 species